rnacentral:rRNA from 1 species
UACGUAGGGUGCGAGCGUUAGUCGGAAUUACUGGGCGUAAAGUGUGCGCAGGUGGCCGCGCAAGUCGCGUGUGAAAUCCCCGAGCUUAACUUGGGAAUUGCGCUCGAAACUACGUGGCUCGAGUGUGGCAGAGGAAGGUGGAAUUCCACGUGUAGCGGUGAAAUGCGUGGAUAUCGGGAGGAACACCAGUGGCGAAGGCGAGUCUCUGGGAUGAUGCUGACGCUGAGGCGCGAAAGCCAGGGGAGCAAACGGG